UACGGGGGGGGUAAGCGUUGUUCGGAAUUAUUGGGCGUAAAGGGCUCGUAGGCGGCCAACUAAGUCAGACGUGAAAUCCCUCAGCUUAACUGGGGAACUGCGUCUGAUACUGGAUGGCUUGGAUUCGGGAGAGGAUAGUGGAAUUCCCAGUGUAGUGGUGAAAUACGUAGAGAUUGGGAAGAACACCAGUGGCGAAGGCGGCUAUCUGGACGGUUUCUGACACUAAGACUCGAAAGCGUGGGGAGCAAACAGG
rnacentral:rRNA from 1 species